rnacentral:rRNA from 1 species
GAUUACGGCCAUACCACACUGACAACGCCCGAUCUUGUCUGAUCUCGGAAGCUAAGCAGAGUUGGGCUGGGUCAGUACUUGGAUGGGUGACCGCCUGGGAAUACCCGGUGCUGUAAGCA